rnacentral:rRNA from 1 species
AUUGAACGCUGGCGGCAGGCCUAACACAUGCAAGUCGAGCGAGCGGCGGACGGGUGAGUAAUGUAUGGGGAUCUGCCUGAUGGAGGGGGAUCACUACUGGAAACGGUCGCUAAUACCGCAUACCAUCAGAUGACCCCAUAUGGGAUGAGCUUGUAGGUAGGGUAACGGCUUACCUAGGCGACGAUCCCUAGCUGGUCUGAGAGGAUGACCAGCCACACUGGGACUGAGACACGGUCCAGACUCCUACGGGAGGCAGCAGUGGGGAAUAUUGCACAAUGGGCGCAAGCCUGAUGCAGCCAUGCCGCGUGUAUGAAGAAGGCCUUCGGGUUGUAAAGUACUUUCAGUCGGGAGGCGUUACUCACAGAAGAAGCACCGGCUAACUCCGUGCCAGCAGCCGCGGUAAUAC